UACGUAGGGGCUAGCGUUGUCCGGAUUUAUUGGGCGUAAAGAGCGUGUAGGCGGCCAGGUAGGUCUGCUGUGAAAACUCGAGGCUCAACCUCGAGACGUCGGCGGAAACCAUCUGGCUAGAGUACGGAAGAGGCGAGUGGAAUUCCUGGUGUAGCGGUGAAAUGCGCAGAUAUCAGGAGGAACACCAAUUGCGAAGGCAGCUCGCUGGGACGUUACUGACGCUGAGACGCGAAAGCGUGGGGAGCAAACAGG
rnacentral:rRNA from 1 species